CAUCUGCGAAAAAUUUAAUUAAGCAACUUUUAAUUCAUUAUAAUUGCUCAAGCUUUUCCGUCAAGUCAAAUCUGCCAUUUUCCAAUUUUUGUGUGUAUAGUCUUUAGUUUUGAUUCUCCCAGUCGCAGGUUGUUCUUUAUAAAGUUCCCGGGACAGUUUACAACGACUUUUCGUCUUUUUUUGUUGGUUUUUUGAUAGAUUUUCUAAAAUUGUAAACUGUCAAAUUUGAAAGUGCGCGCGCAUGCGCUUCGUCAGUUGAACCUUUUUGACUAAUAUCAGUAAUGCCAAGCUAGUAUAAAAGACUUUCAAUUCAAUAUUCCUUAUUUAUUUUCUCUAAUUCUCCAAUUUUUGUGUCCAACAUUACUUAGUGGGGCAGAAUUCAAAGAAAAAUUAAAAGUGGGAGAUGCAACAAAAACGACAGACUCAUUAUUUUAUGAAAUAACGGGAAAAAUUGACAGCAGCUUAUCUCAAUUGCCACAAAUUUUGUUUAUUUAUUAUUAUUUUUUGGCAAAAACUUUUACGGAUUUUGGACGCACUUCUGUCCUGGAACGCGUUAUUACCGAAUGUUUUGUGUCUAAAUUCAAAUUCAUUCUUUACUAAAAGACACUUCAAGUCAAAAAUAAGCUUCUCGUAAGUAAGCUUAGUGGAAGAAGGCACUUAUACCGAAAAAAUUAUUUGCGUAAUGUGCCAUUUGUUGCUUUUUCGGCAGUGUUUUCUGGAAGUACAAGAAGGAAAACACAGUUUUUGCUUUCACGAGCGUAAGUAACUUCCUAAUACAUGAAUUUCUCAAAUAUCGUCAGAAUUUUUUAUUUUUGGAAUUGCGUUAAUUUAUUGCUUUGGAAUACAAACCCAUCUUUAACGAGUGCCACACUUCCAAUCAUGUGCGGGUCAUCUGGGUCUGGACUGACGGUAACCUCCAUCAACUUGACAUACUUCCAAGCAGAUUCAGGACUGAUGCGGGCCCGGAGCUGCAGCUUAGUACCAAUGGGUACUGCCUGAUCCACUGGAAGCUCACUAUUCGUGGCAUUGCUGAUUCUGGCUGGAGCUUCCUUGUAAAGAGCUACUUCGUACUCCAGACGACCUGGAGUUUCUUCAACCACUCCCGAAACCCGGGCUCCAUGAGGACUAGUUUUUAGUCUACAAAUAUGGUGAACAAGUCGUAGCAGCAUACCCUACAAGUUUAGAAGACAAUCUAAAAGAAAACUACCAUUGCAAAAAAUUACGAGGUUAGAAAAAUCUUAAUUGGGAAAAUUUUACACGGGAUUGGUUUACACAGCUCCAUUGUUACACCAAAACGGAUUUUAAUUGAAGCUGCACACAGCCUCACUUUACGUUUGACGGAAUUAUUACAGUUGGUUGCAAUUCGGAAAUUCCGAAAAUGUCGUAGCAAGAGUUAAACAUUUUUGUAAUUUGGAUACGGAUUGUUUUCAAAAAAGAUGGAACGGACUCCGGAAACGCCGGAGGCCCGCAAUUUAUCCCACAUUUCCGGUACGACGAACUAGGAAAAUAAACAACUUUGAAGCUGGAUAAUUAGGUUGGAGCCUUGCGUGCGAGUGUCAACAGUUUUAGACAAUUCUAUUAUUAAAUACCUAUUUAUUGUGGCACAAAAGACGGCAAAGUAGCGCUUUUUUAAGCACAAGGACUUGUAGUAAUUAGUUUCAGAAAAACAAUGAAAUUUAAAGUGAUACACUUAUCUCAUGUUUUUUUUAAUUACCAAACGAUUUUUCAAAAUAAUCAGUAAUUUAACCGAAAUAAUGAAGGACGCUGAUAAAAUUCACCAUUAUCUUCACAAGCUCGCAAAGAUAAAAUAAAAUUGUAUCCUCGUACAUAAUAAAAAAUGUAGGUAAUGGUACUAACGCUAAAACUGUUUCAUAGGUUUAUGAAAAAAAAAUAUUUGAAAUUAAUUUAAAACGCUGGAAGCGGCUUCAUUUUUCCUCCGCUGCACUUUAUUUUUGAGUACAGAAUCGAGUUAUCUGUACCUCGUUUCGCUUCCUGGUAGUUGAAGGAAAACAAAAAAUGCGGUUUUGGUCACCCGAUUUUUGUAGUAAUUACUGCGGUUGUCGUAACAACGAAAAAAAAUAAACAAACUUGUUCAUCAAUUUUUAUUUCUGUGUAAAUAACCGAACCAAGCAAAAAUCCCAGCUUGGCAAAUAAACCACAUUAAUUAACUCAGCAAGCAAGUAAUAAAUAUACAAUUAGCUGCUUGUAAACGCUUGCCUCGAAUUUUUCAUCGUUCGUUUUAAUAAUAGUCCGCCACCUCCGAAUCCUCCUCCUUCGAUCGCUUAUCAAUCUCUGCUGCUGCCCCCGGGGGCGGCACAGUGUCGUUUUGACGUGUCGAUAAUAAUUUCGCAAAUAAAUCGUUGGGAGGUGUUUAUUCUUGGCGCGCUCACGUCAACCCGAAAAAAUUUAUUAUAACGGGAACCGCGUGUAUCGACGUGUGUGUGCGUAGGUAGGUAUAUAAAGCGCGACGUCGAAAAUUCGAUUUAUUACUAAAGUUCGGAGGGUCCACAACGAAUUUUUCAACAACGCAUUUGGAGUUUCUGUUCUGGAUGUACAGUAAAAGUGGUGAGAUCCGUCGAGACGAGGCCUGCCUUGACUACAGCGGUCAAGAGGUGAUUCUGUACCCGUGUCACGGCAGCAAGGGCAACCAAUUUUGGGAUUACAACGCCAACAGCAAACUUUUAAGGCAUGGAAGUAGCGAUAAAUGUUUGGCCAUAAACGAAGCGAAAAAUAAACUACUAAUGGAGCCCUGCGACGAAGAGGCCACAAGGCAACACUGGUCGUUGGAGAACUACGACGCCAGCAAAUUGUGAUUGUUUUAGUUUAUGUGUGUGUGGCAAAAAGACGAGUAAAGUAAGUGUACAAAAGUUUUGUAUAAAUGAUCGGUUUUGCAGUUUUAUAACGAAUUGUAGAUUCUAGCAACGACUGUGUCUAUCAAUAUCUACAUAUCCAAUUGUUUUAGCGCUCAAUUGUUACAUUCCUUUACUUAAGACUGUAAAUAACUGGUUACAUAUCCAACAAAUAUCAUUUAAGCAAGCGGCCUGUGUAUAUAAUAACAAUUGAAAAGUACUUAAUUUCAUGGCAAAUUAUUUUCGAAAACGAUCAUGUGAUAAUUAGUCCUUUAAUUAUGUAAAUAAUUAUAUUAUUUGCUCAAUUUCGUUCCCUUUUACGUCAAUUACUCUUCAAAGGGCCAUAAAGCAGCGUUAUGUAAAUAACUCGCAGUAUUUUAUCCUGAUUUUAUUAUUACAUAAUCAUAAUGUACUUAAUAUAGUGUACUAGACAUGUAAAUGUAGGCCAGUGUAUGUAUUUUUAUAACGUGCCUUAUUUGUGUAUAUAAAACGUUAAUAACAUUAUGUUGAAAUCACCCCACAUCAAUUAUGUCUGCGACAGUACUCUGCUGGAGCGAGAUAAACUUAUACCGCUGUCGUAGAACAGAGCGAGACACAAAAUGUGUAUUACUGGUUGCCGGUAAGUUGGCGUUUAUUUUAUUAAAUUUAUUCUAGUAUAACCGGAAGAGUAAUUACUGAAUUUUUAACGUUGGAAAAAUUAUAUUGAAAUCAACAUCCCCCUUUUUUUAAGAAAAUACUCAGUUAAGCGAGAUCAACUUAUAGGUGUGUUGAAAGCUAAGGUGUGACACUGGUGUACUACUGGUUGCCUAUAAUUCUAUGUUUCGUGACGAUGUAAUGUAAUGUCAUCAACUGUCAAUUGUUUUUAAAAAUUUAAUUUAAAUCAAUUUAAUUUAAAAUAAAGCUAGCCCCAAUAAUAUUUUUCAUUAAAAAAUUAAAAUUCGGUCCUGUACAUCAUCGACACACGAUUAACUGUGAUUUUCAGAUUGGUAGUAUGACAAAUUUUGGUGCGAAAAUUAGUUGUAGCGUAUUUUAAUUAUGUUUUAUUAGCUAUAAACUUGUCCAAAAUAGCUUAAAAGGUGACAAAUAUGUUUGACUACAAAUUGACGAAUUAAUUUUCACACAACUGGUAAGUUUUAUCUAAAUACACAAUAACCGGCCCUCGUAUACGAUUUUAAACCACCCUCGUAUACAAUGAUUUCGUGUUGGCGCGCUUAAUUUCCACUAAAUACGUCACGAAAGUGACCAGGUUAUUGAUUUUCUCGAACCCCAAAUACGGGGGCAGUUUUAAAAAUGCUUGAAAUAUUAACUUUGUGGUGAAAAAGUGUCUUGCAGGACAAUUUUUCGAGUCUCAACACCCAGUGUGGCCACGCGUUAGAGGGCUGUUUGAAAUAAAUAUAAUUUUCGAUUUUUAAAAUGCAUUUAAUUUAAUGGCGGGAACAAUAAUUUUUGGGGCGCCCUCAUAUAAUGUGUUUUCAAAGUUGGUAGACUUGGUUUCCACUAAAACGUCACAAACGUCACGCGAUCGAUUUUCUGCUACGGGGGCGUUCUAAAAGUUAUUUAAAUUCUGGCUUUGGGGUAAAUAAAUGGUUUGCAGGACAUUUUUUAUAUUCUCAACCCCUUUGUUACACGCAGUGUGUCCACGUGUUAAAGGGCUGCUUGAAAAAAAUGUAAUUUUCUAUUUUUAAAAUGAAUAAAUUUAGUGUGCGGGCGAUGAAAUUUUUGAGGCGCCCUCGUAAACGGUGCAAAUUUGUCCGAACACGUGUACUUUUUUUGACAAGUACGUCAACUGUUGCGUGAGAGCGGCAGUUUUCGGGCGGCGGCCGGAGCGGUCGGACGUGUGUCUGUGCGUGCGUCUUGUUCGUUAAAUUAUUAAAUAAAUUAUUAAACCGCGACCGCGACGCGAAUUAAUUAAAGUGGUGCUGUGCUGUGCUGUGUUGUGCUGCGAAAUUUUAAGGAUAUUUUGUACAAAGGACCGUUUAACCAAAUUUUUAUCACAUGUGUUACUUCCACCUUCAAGGGUUGCCCAACACGAAUGCAAAGAUUGCAUUAAACAGUCGUUCAUUGCAAUUUCCACUUGGAGUUAUGAAUUUUGAGAGCUCAAAAGCUGGUGCCUGUGUUGAAUUGCUUUACAAACUGUUGCGGCCUGCGGGAUUCGGAGGAUUUCAAAGGCGUUCUUCGUCUGGUUCUUCAGAAAUUAUUUUUUAACUGACAAUAAUUAUCAUUAAACGUUGUUAUAUUUGUGUGAUUGAUUAUGUUUUUUUUAAUAAACGCUAAGGAAAUGUGUCUUUUAUUGGGGGGCAAAUACAAGUUCAAUAAAUUAUAGGCAUUUUUGAGCUAAAAAAAAUAAAUAGAAGAAAAAGGUAAGUGGAAAAAUAAUGUACAAUUACAGUGUUUAAAAAAAUCGCGCUAAAUCAAAUUAUUUUAAAUCGGUUUUUCCGCGCUAAACUAGAUUUAAAAGGUUUGUGAAUACGUGUUGUCAAUCAUUAUGAAAUUAAAAAUCGUACUAAACCGGUAAUUUAAAAAAUGGCGCGGACACGUGCACUUAAACGGUAAAUAAAUUUAAAAAAUGGCGCGGACAGGUGCUAAUUGGUAAAUAAAUUUAAAAAAAAUGGCGCGGACACGUGCUAAUUGGUAAAUAAAUUUAAAAAAAAAAUGGCGCGGACAUGUGCACUUGAACGGUAAAUAAAUUAAAAAAAAUCGUGCGGACACGUGCACUAAAUCGGUAUAUAAAAAAAAUGGCGCGGACACGUGCUAAUAGGUAAAUAAAUUUAAAAAAAAAUGGCGCGGACAUGUGCACUUGAACGGUAAAUAAAUUAAAAAAAAUCGUGCGGACACGUGCACUAAAUCGGUAUAUAAAAAAAUGGCGCGGACACGUGCACUUAAACGGUAAAUAAAUUAAAAAAAUCGCGCGGACACGUGCACUUAAUCGGUAAAUAAAAAAAAAUGGCGCGGACACGUGCACUAAAUCGGUAAAUAAAUUUAAAAAAUCGCGCGGACACGUGCACUAAAUCGGUAAAUAAAAAAAAUGGCGCGGACAGGUGCUAAUUGGUAAAUAAAUUUAAAAAAAAUGGCGCGGACAUGUGCACUUGAACGGUAAAUAAAUUAAAAAAAAUCGCGCGGACACGUGCACUAAAUCGGUAAAUAAAAAAAAUGGCGCGGACAGGUGCUAAUUGGUAAAUAAAUUUAAAAAAAAAUGGCGCGGACAUGUGCACUUGAACGGUAAAUAAAUUAAAAAAAAUCGCGCGGACACGUGCACUAAAUCGGUAAAUAAAAAAAAUGGCGCGGACACGUGCUAAUAGGUAAAUAAAUUUAAAAAAAAAUGGCGCGGACAUGUGCACUUGAACGGUAAAUAAAUUAAAAAAAAUCGUGCGGACACGUGCACUAAAUCGGUAUAUAAAAAAAUGGCGCGGACACGUGCACUUAAACGGUAAAUAAAUUAAAAAAAUCGCGCGGACACGUGCACUUAAUCGGUAAAUAAAAAAAAUGGCGCGGACACGUGCUAAUAGGUAAAUAAAUUUAAAAAAAAAUGGCGCGGACAUGUGCACUUGAACGGUAAAUAAAUUAAAAAAAAUCGUGCGGACACGUGCACUAAAUCGGUAUAUAAAAAAAUGGCGCGGACACGUGCACUUAAACGGUAAAUAAAUUAAAAAAAUCGCGCGGACACGUGCACUUAAUCGGUAAAUAAAAAAAAAUGGCGCGGACACGUGCACUAAAUCGGUAAAUAAAUUUAAAAAAUCGCGCGGACACGUGCACUAAAUCGGUAAAUAAAAAAAAUGGCGCGGACAGGUGCUAAUUGGUAAAUAAAUUUAAAAAAAAUGGCGCGGACAUGUGCACUUGAACGGUAAAUAAAUUAAAAAAAAUCGUGCGGACACGUGCACUAAAUCGGUAUAUAAAAAAAAUGGCGCGGACACGUGCUAAUAGGUAAAUAAAUUUAAAAAAAAAUGGCGCGGACAUGUGCACUUGAACGGUAAAUAAAUUAAAAAAAAUCGCGCGGACACGUGCACUAAAUCGGUAAAUAAAAAAAAUGGCGCGGACACGUGCUAAUAGGUAAAUAAAUUUAAAAAAAAAUGGCGCGGACAUGUGCACUUGAACGGUAAAUAAAUUAAAAAAAAUCGCGCGGACACGUGCACUAAAUCGGUAAAUAAAAAAAAUGGCGCGGACACGUGCUAAUAGGUAAAUAAAUUUAAAAAAAAAUGGCGCGGACAUGUGCACUUGAACGGUAAAUAAAUUAAAAAAAAUCGUGCGGACACGUGCACUAAAUCGGUAUAUAAAAAAAUGGCGCGGACACGUGCACUUAAACGGUAAAUAAAUUAAAAAAAUCGCGCGGACACGUGCACUUAAUCGGUAAAUAAAAAAAAAUGGCGCGGACACGUGCACUAAAUCGGUAAAUAAAUUUAAAAAAUCGCGCGGACACGUGCACUAAAUCGGUAAAUAAAAAAAAUGGCGCGGACAGGUGCUAAUUGGUAAAUAAAUUUAAAAAAAAUGGCGCGGACACGUGCUAAUUGGUAAAUAAAUUUAAAAAAAAAAUGGCGCGGACAUGUGCACUUGAACGGUAAAUAAAUUAAAAAAAAUCGUGCGGACACGUGCACUAAAUCGGUAUAUAAAAAAAAUGGCGCGGACACGUGCUAAUAGGUAAAUAAAUUUAAAAAAAAAUGGCGCGGACAUGUGCACUUGAACGGUAGAUAAAUUAAAAAAAAUCGCGCGGACACGUGCACUAAAUCGGUAAAUAAAAAAAAUGGCGCGGACACGUGCUAAUAGGUAAAUAAAUUUAAAAAAAAAUGGCGCGGACAUGUGCACUUGAACGGUAAAUAAAUUAAAAAAAAUCGUGCGGACACGUGCACUAAAUCGGUAUAUAAAAAAAUGGCGCGGACACGUGCACUUAAACGGUAAAUAAAUUAAAAAAAUCGCGCGGACACGUGCACUUAAUCGGUAAAUAAAAAAAAAUGGCGCGGACACGUGCACUUAAUCGGUAAAUAAAUUAAAAAAAUCGCGCGGACACGUGCACUAAAUCGGUAAAUAAAUUUAAAAAAUCGCGCGGACACGUGCACUAAAUCGGUAAAUAAAAAAAAUGGCGCGGACACGUGCUAAUUGGUAAAUAAAUUUAAAAAAAAAUGGCGCGGACAUGUGCACUUGAACGGUAAAUAAAUUAAAAAAAAUCGCGCGGACACGUGCACUAAAUCGGUAAAUAAAAAAAAUGGCGCGGACACGUGCUAAUAGGUAAAUAAAUUUAAAAAAAAAUGGCGCGGACAUGUGCACUUGAACGGUAAAUAAAUUAAAAAAAAUCGUGCGGACACGUGCACUAAAUCGGUAAAUAAAAAAAAUGGCGCGGACAGGUGCUAAUUGGUAAAUAAAUUUAAAAAAAAAAUGGCGCGGACAUGUGCACUUGAACGGUAAAUAAAUUAAAAAAAAUCGUGCGGACACGUGCACUAAAUCGGUAUAUAAAAAAAAUGGCGCGGACACGUGCUAAUAGGUAAAUAAAUUUUAAAAAAAAUGGCGCGG